GUUUCCAUAGUGUAGUGGUUAUCAUGUUUGCCUAACACACGAAGGGUCCCUGGUUCGAAACCAGGCGGAAACA